AACCCGCCUGUAUGAAGUUGGAAUCGCUAGUAAUCGCGGAUCAGCAUGCCGCGGUGAAUACGUUCCCGGGCCUUGUACACACCGCCCGUCACACCAUGAGAGUCGGGAACACCCGAAGUCCGUAGCCUAACCGCAAGGAGGGCGCGGCCGAAGGUGGGUUCGAUAAUUGGGGUGAAGUCGUAACAAGGUAGC
rnacentral:rRNA from 1 species